rnacentral:rRNA from 1 species
UACGUAGGGGGCUAGCGUUGUCCGGAUUUAUUGGGCGUAAAGAGCGUGUAGGCGGCUAUACAGGUCCGUUGUGAAAACUCGAGGCUCAACCUCGAGACGCCGAUGGAAACCGUAUGGCUAGAGUCCGGAAGAGGAGAGCGGAAUUCCUGGUGUAGCGGUGGAAUGCGCAGAUAUCAGGAGGAACACCGGUGGCGAAGGCGGGUCUCUGGGCAGUAACUGACGCUGAGGAGCGAAAGCGUGGGGAGCGAACAGG